rnacentral:rRNA from 1 species
UGAGGAAUAUUGGUCAAUGGGCGAGAGCCUGAACCAGCCAAGUCGCGUGAAGGAAGACAGUCCUAAGGAUUGUAAACUUCUUUUAUACGGGAAUAACGGGCGAUACGAGUAUUGCAUUGAAUGUACCGUAAGAAUAAGCAUCGGCUAACUCCGUGCCAGCAGCCGCGGUAAUACGGAGGAUGCGAGCGUUAUCCGGAUUUAUUGGGUCUAAAGGGUGCGUAGGUUGUUCGGUAAGUCAGCGGUGAAACCUGAGCGCUCAACGUUCAGCCUGCCGUUGAAACUGCCGGGCUUGAGUUCAGUGGCGGCAGGCGGAAUUCGUGGUGUAGCGGUGAAAUGCAUAGAUAUCACGAGGAACUCCGAUUGCGAAGGCAGCUUGCCAUACUGCGACUGACACUGAAGCACGAAGGCGUGGGUAUCAAACAGG